CUCUCUCUCCCGUAGACUCUCUUCUCCCUCUUUUUCUCUCAAACCCUAAAAUUUCGCCGCCGACAACAACAAAGUUUCACCAUGGAAAAGAUGCACGGCUAUGAAAAUCAAGGAUUUGGAAAAACUAUGAAAAUGAAAACGAUGCACGGCUAUGAAAAGUUAGGGUUUCUGUUAACAAUGGGUUUAAUCAAGAGAAGGGGCACGAUUCAUUCACUCUAUUUCUCUUUCAUUUGUAUAACUCUUUUUAUAGCUCACAUGUGUUUGAGUUUAUUAUGAUGUUGUGGUCUGAUUUCCUAUGUGCAGGUUCAAGCAUCCCACAAUUUCGAUCUGAUUAGGGCUACUGUUUUUUCUUGAUACUUCUCAUCAGUAUUUUCAAUAACUUAUGUUUUUUCUUGAAGAAAAUGCCUCUGUUUACUUAUAUCUUCUUUUUGUUUAAAUAUCCAUAACUUUUUCCUCAUUUCAUUGUUAAGGAGUUACAACUAUCACUCUACAAUUUUUCAUAGCUUUAGUGUUUCUCAGUCUGAUAAGCUUCUCAUCCCUAAUUUUCAGCCUUUGAUUCAACCGCGGAUUCAUUUUCUUCCAACAAACCGUCAAAUCUUGCUGCACUAAUCAAGCAAAAGUUUUCCAAUUUCAGUCCUGCAACCAUUACAGCCAAUAAUGGCUCACGGUCGUAUCCCUCUCCAGACCAAAACAAAUCGCCAGCAACUCCAUUUGACAUGGGAAGCGGUUUUGUAAACGCUACCGCAUCAUGAAACUUGGGAUUGCUUUUUGAUUCAAAUAAGCCACUUAAUGAACUUCUAAAUCUUUUUAUUAUAUUUAGAAUGUCUAUAAGCUUAUUUGAACUGUGUAUAUGGCAUGUAUUUCUUUGUAGGUUAUGAUGAUUACAUGUCUUUUUUAUGCAGGAAUGGUCUUUUGUCUAUCUAUUAGAACAAAUAAUAUUUUAUUGUUUUAACUUUCAACAGUACAAUAUAUGAAUAUGAAGAUUUUCUUUUGUCCUUCAUUCAAAUAACUUGAUAUUUAUGGAAGAUCAUGCAACAGUCAAGCUAGCAGAUUUUGGUUUAGCGAGAGAAGAGUCUUUAACUGAGAUGAUGACAGCUGAAACGGAAACAUACCAUUGGAUGGCUCUAGAGGGUGAGAGCUGAAGUCUAAAAAGAAUUUCAGAGUUUGGUUAUUUAAGAGGGAAAUGAUUGAAUGUUAUAGAAAAGAAAAAGAAGCCAGAAGUGCAGCUGAGCAGAAGGCCAUUGCAACUGAGGACCUGUACAAGCGAUCACAAGAGUGUAAUAUCAGUUUGCUAUAGUAUAAUAGUCAGCUUCAGUAAAUUCUAAAAGCAGUUAACGAGGAAAAUAAACGACUGGAAAUAGAGAAAUCAAGUAUUGUUGAGAACCUUAGCAGUGUAAGAGGCCACAAUAAGGUAUUGCACGAGCAACUAACAUCUCUACAAAUAAGUUAUUUAUUGUUGAUUAAUAUCAUCAGGCCUAUCAUUUAUGAUGUCUAUUGUCUGCCGAUAACCCGAAGUGUUUUAAAUUACGUGAUGUGAAGUUCCUGUUGUGGACAAAUAGAUAUGUUGCAGCAACUGAAAAAGACAAGUUGAAGGGUGGAGUUUGAUCUGUGUCUGUAGCUAAUUGCAGGCCAUAACAAAAUGAAUGUAAAUAGGCUGCACGAGCUACACUAAGCAAUAAAAUCUGGAGGUACACACACUGUUUGGAGUCUCUCAAGCAUUAAUGAAGAACUAAUGAGUUUGCAUUUGGUGCAGAACCUCAUUUUGAGAAUAAUGAGUUUAAAAGAUGAUUCAAAUCAAUGUUAAUUGGAAAUGGAGACAAUUUUUCUUAUGUAUUCCGAGCAAAACAUGCGGAUCAUACCUCAUAAACAUGUAUGAAUUUGUUUUAAGAGCUGUGGCCAUACAGAACUAAGAAGAAUCUAAGAACAUACCUCAUAAACAUUUGUGAAUUUUAAUAGUAAUUAUAAUUCUGUUU